UAACCAUGGUGAGGGCAUGCAUUUAACAAGUCCUUGAAUCUCUCCCAACACUGAUAGAAGGUUUCAACAUCUUUUUGAGCAAAAUUCAUGAUCUGUCUCUUUAAGGCA